AUUGAACGCUGGCGGAAUGCUUUACACAUGCAAGUCGAACGGCAGCACGGACUUCGGUCUGGUGGCGAGUGGCGAACGGGUGAGUAAUACAUCGGAACGUGCCCAGUCGCGGGGGAUAACGUAGCGAAAGCUACGCUAAUACCGCAUACGAUCUAAGGAUGAAAGCGGGGGAUCGCAAGACCCCGCGCGAUUGGAGCGGCCGAUGGCAGAUGAGGUAGUUGGUGGGGUAAAGGCCUACCAAGCCGACGAUCUGUAGCUGGUCUGAGAGGACGACCAGCCACACUGGGACUGAGACACGGCCCAGACUCCUACGGGAGGCAGCAGUGGGGAAUUUUGGACAAUGGGCGCAAGCCUGAUCCAGCCAUUCCGCGUGCAGGAUGAAGGCCCUCGGGUUGUAAACUGCUUUUGUACGGAACGAAAAGGCUCUGGUUAAUACCCGGGGCUCAUGACGGUACCGUGAGAAUAAGCACCGGCUAACUACGUGCCAGCCGCCGCCGUAA
rnacentral:rRNA from 1 species